rnacentral:rRNA from 1 species
GUCUAUGGCCAUGCUACCCUGAACAAGCCCGAUCUCAUCUGAUCUCAGAAGCUAAGCAGGGUCGGGCUUGGUUAGUAUUUGGAUGGGAGACCACCUAGGAAGACUAGGUGCUGUAGGCA